GACGAACGCUGGCGGCGUGCUUAACACAUGCAAGUCGAACGGAAAGGCCCUGCUUUUGUGGGGUGCUCGAGUGGCGAACGGGUGAGUAACACGUGAGUAACCUGCCCUUGACUUUGGGAUAACUUCAGGAAACUGGGGCUAAUACCGGAUAGGAGCUCCUGCUGCAUGGUGGGGGUUGGAAAGUUUCGGCGGUUGGGGAUGGACUCGCGGCUUAUCAGCUUGUUGGUGGGGUAGUGGCUUACCAAGGCUUUGACGGGUAGCCGGCCUGAGAGGGUGACCGGGCACAUUGGGACUGAGAGACGGCCCAGACGGCUACGGGAGGCAGCAGUGGGGAAUAUUGCACAAUGGGCGGAAGCCUGAUGCAGCAACGCCGCGUGCGGGAUGACGGCCUUCGGGUUGUAAACCGCUUUCGCCUGUGACGAAGCGUGAGUGACGGUAAUGGGUAAAGAAGCACCGGCUAACUACGUG
rnacentral:rRNA from 1 species